rnacentral:tRNA from 1 species
GUAGUGUAGCGGUUAUCACGUCGCCCUGUCACGGCGAAGAUCGCGGGUUCGAUUCCCGUC